rnacentral:rRNA from 1 species
AUUGAACGCUGGCGGAAUGCUUUACACAUGCAAGUCGAACGGUAGAGGGGGCAACCCCUCGAGAGUGGCGAACGGGUGAGUAAUAUAUCGGAACGUGCCCAGUCGUGGGGGAUAACGUAGCGAAAGUUACGCUAAUACCGCAUACGAUCUAAGGAUGAAAGCGGGGGAUCGCAAGACCUCGCGCGAUUGGAGCGGCCGAUAUCAGAUUAGGUAGUCGGUGGGGUAAAGGCCCACCAAGCCAACGAUCUGUAGCUGGCCUGAGAGGACGACCAGCCACACUGGAACUGAGACACGGUCCAGACUCCUACGGGAGGCAGCAGUGGGGAAUUUUGGACAAUGGGCGAAAGCCUGAUCCAGCCAUUCCGCGUGCAGGAUGAAGGCCCUCGGGUUGUAAACUGCUUUUGUACAGAACGAAAAGGUUUCUACUAAUACUAGGAGCUCAUGACGGUACUGUAAGAAUAAGCACCGGCUAACUACGUGCCAGCCGCCGCAGUAA